rnacentral:rRNA from 1 species
UACGGAGGAUGCGAGCGUUAUCCGGAUUUAUUGGGUUUAAAGGGUGCGUAGGCGGGACCUUAAGUCAGCGGUAAAAUUGCGGUGCUCAACCCCGCCGAGCCGUCGGAACUGGGGGCCUUGAGUGCGGCGGAGGCAUGCGGAAUGCGCGGUGUAGCGGUGAAAUGCAUAGAUAUCACGCAGAACCCCGAUUGCGAAGGCAGCAUACCGGUGCACAACUGACGCUCAGGCACGAAAGCGUGGGUAUCGAACAGG